GCUCUUGUAGCUUAGUUGGUUAGUGCACCUGUUUAGUAAGCUGGAGGUCUUGAGUGCAACUCUCGGCAAGAGCA
rfam:Ipomoea nil DNA, scaffold: scaffold1416, cultivar: Tokyo-kokei standard.